GCUGGGCGUGGUGGCGUGCACCUGUAAUCCCAGCUACUUGGGAGGCUGAGGCAGGAGAAUCCCUUGAACCUGGGAGGUGGAGAUUGCAGUGAGCUGAGAUCGUACCACUGCACUCCAGCCUGGGUGACAGAGCGAGACUCUGUCUCAAAAAAAAAAAAAAAAGUGUAAUAAAAUACACAUAGCAUAAAAUGUAUCAUUUUAACCCCCUGUCUCCCAGGCUGGAGUGCAGUGGUACAAUCUCAGCCCACUGCAAUCUCCACCUUCCAGGUUCAAGGGAUUCUCCUGCCUCA
rnacentral:SRP_RNA from 1 species